GAUGAUGCCUGAGCAGCUAUGGGAAACAACAAUGAAUCCAGAUACAAGGAUACUGAAGCAACUAGUUGUUUGAUGACGCAGCAAAACAAAUGUGGUCUUUUCAUCUCUCAUGGGUGCUAGGGUCGAUGUCCGGAAGGAACUCAUCAAAAGCGCUGCGACUAGAAUCAAUGUAGAGCAUCUUGACAUAUGAACAACACAUGCUAUUGCCUCAGCUAUACCAAGAGAUAGCUUUGAAAAGUUAGGAGGACUCAUUAUUGUUUUGUGAUUUUACCAUAUAAUUAUCUUUUAUUGAUUCCGAAACAUGGUUUCUUAAAUUGAUUUGCAUCUAUUCUAUUAAAACAUGAACAUGACCUUUUGAUAUGUGUUAUCUAACUAUUUUAAUAUAAUUAUUAAAAAAAGUUAUUAAUCA